UCGGAAUCGCUAGUAAUCGCGGAUCAGCAUGCCGCGGUGAAUACGUUCCCGGGCCUUGUACACACCGCCCGUCACACCAUGAGAGUCGGGAACACCCGAAGCCCGUAGCCUAACUUUAACGAGGGGGCGCGGUCGAAGGUGGGUUCGAUAAUUGGGUGAAGUCGUAACAAGGUAGC
rnacentral:rRNA from 1 species